rnacentral:rRNA from 1 species
AUUGAACGCUGGCGGCAGGCCUAACACAUGCAAGUCGAGCGGUAGAGAGGUGCUUGCAUCUCUUGAGAGCGGCGGACGGGUGAGUAAUGCCUAGGAAUCUGCCUAGUGGUGGGGGAUAACGUUCGGAAACGGACGCUAAUACCGCAUACGUCCUACGGGAGAAAGCGGGGGAUCUUCGGACCUCGCGCCAUUAGAUGAGCCUAGGUCGGAUUAGCUAGUUGGUGAGGUAAUGGCUCACCAAGGCGACGAUCCGUAACUGGUCUGAGAGGAUGAUCAGUCACACUGGAACUGAGACACGGUCCAGACUCCUACGGGAGGCAGCAGUGGGGAAUAUUGGACAAUGGCGAAAGCCUGAUCCAGCCAUGCCGCGUGUGUGAAGAAGGUCUUCGGAUUGUAAAGCACUUAAGUUGGGAGGAAGGUAG